UACGGAGGGUGCAAGCGUUAUCCGGAUUUACUGGGUUUAAAGGGUGCGUAGGUGGGUUGGUAAGUCAGUGGUGAAAGCCCGGAGCUCAACUCCGGAACUGCCAUUGAAACUGUGAAACUUGAGGAUGAGAGAGGUGAGUGGAAUUCCCAGUGUAGAGGUGAAAUUCGUAGAUAUUGGGAAGAACACCGGUGGCGAAGGCGGCUCACUGGCUCAUUUCUGACGCUCAGGCGCGACAGCGUGGGGAUCAAACAGG
rnacentral:rRNA from 1 species